rnacentral:rRNA from 1 species
UACAGAGGGUGCGAGCGUUAAUCGGAAUUACUGGGCGUAAAGGGUGCGUAGGUGGUUUUAUAAGUUAGGUGUGAAAUUCCUGGCUUAACCUGGGGACUGCGCCUAAUACUGUAGAGCUAGAGUACUGUAGAGGGAAGUGGAAUUUCCGGUGUAGCAGUGAAAUGCGUAGAUAUCGGAAGGAACACCAGUGGCGAAGGCGACUUCCUGGACAGAUACUGACACUGAGGCACGAAAGCGUGGGGGAGCAAACAGG